rnacentral:rRNA from 1 species
UGUCUAGUAUAGCAUAUCCGUGAAACUGCGAAUGCUCAUAAAUCAGUUAUCGUUUAUUUGAUAGUACCUUACUACUUGGAUAACCGUGGUAAUUCUAGAGCUAAUACAUGCUAAAAACCCCGACUUCGGGAGGGGGUGUAUUUAUUAGAUAAAAAACCAAUGCCCUCCGGGGCUCUUUGGUGAUUCAUGAUAACUUAACGGAUCGCAUGGCCUUGCGCCGGCGACGGUUCAUUCAAAUUUCUGCCCUAUCAACUUUCGAUGGUAAGGUAUUGGCUUACCAUGGUUUCAACGGGUAACGGGGAAUUAGGGUUCGAUUCCGGAGAGGGAGCCUGAGAAACGGCUACCACAUCCAAGGAAGGCAGCAGGCGCGCAAAUUACCCAAUCCCGACACGGGGAGGUAGUGACAAUAAAUACUGAUACAGGGCUCUUUUGGGUCUUGUAAUUGGAAUGAGUACAAUUUAAACCCCUUAACGAGGAACAAUUGGAGGGCAAGUCUGGUGCCAGCAGCCGCGGUAAUUCCAGCUCCAAUAGCGUAUAUUAAAGUUGUUGCAGUUAAAAAGCUCGUAGUUGAAACUUGGGCCUGGCUGGCCGGUCCGCCUCACCGCGUGUACUGGUCCGGCCGGGCCUUUCCUUCUGGAGAGCCUCAUGCCCUUCACUGGGUGUGUUGGGGAACCAGGACUUUUACUUUGAAAAAAUUAGAGUGUUCAAAGCAGGCCUUUGCUCGAAUACGUUAGCAUGGAAUAAUAGAAUAGGACGUGCGAUCCUAUUUUGUUGGUUUCUAGGACCGCCGUAAUGAUUAAUAGGGAUAGUCGGGGGCAUCAGUAUUCAAUUGUCAGAGGUGAAAUUCUUGGAUUUAUUGAAGACUAACUACUGCGAAAGCAUUUGCCAAGGAUGUUUUCAUUAAUCAGUGAACGAAAGUUAGGGGAUCGAAGACGAUCAGAUACCGUCGUAGUCUUAACCGUAAACUAUGCCGACUAGGGAUCGGGCGAUGUUAUUAUUUUGACUCGCUCGGCACCUUACGAGAAAUCAAAGUUUUUGGGU